GCAGCGCCGCAAUCCCGCAGGAGAGACCCAUCAUCGGCGUCAGCGGCAUGGCGGCGGCGCAGCCUUCCUCCUCCCGUUCGCUGGCUCCGCCCCUCCGCUGCCGCCUCGUCUUCGACCGCCGCUACGGCUGGAUCUUCGACGAGUGGACGGACCCCGCCGACCAAUCCCUCUCCGGCGGCCGCCGAAUGUAAGUGCCUACCCACUCGCGCCCUUCCUCCCGAGUUCGUUUUGUUCCCCAAUCUUGUAGCCUGCACUGCGCAGAAACUCCUGCCCUGCCUGCUGCGUUUCAGGUUCUGCGCGGUGACGAUGGCGCGGUCGCUGGUGACCGCCGCGGCGUCCUCGGUAACAUUGUCUCGCCGACGAGUUGGACUAUAAGCUGAAUCUGUUAUCUUUGCCUGAUUGCCGUGUGGGGCUGCCGUUGUAGAAUGGAUUGGAGAAAUCUAGUUUUUGCCAUGGCAUGUUUGCCGGUUAGUAUGUUCCUAUUGGGGAUUUCCAGUUACGGUAUGAGCUUUGCUCAUCUGAAUUCUGGAUUCUGGAAUGGGCUUGCGAUUGCUUCCUGCCUGGAUGUUCCGAUUUAUAGGGUAUGCUAAUAGAACUUGUCGUUGUACAAUAUCAAUUUAUUGGUAGAUUUUUUGAUGCUUUGGGUAAGCUGGCCAACAUCUCCAACAGUAGGUCUGUGAUUUGUUUGCUAGGUGGAGUUGUUAAGUUGGGGUGGUGAUAUGAGGUCAGAAAUUUCAUAUGUAGUAUGAUAUAUUCUGUUUAAUAUGAUGAAUAUUGACCUAUUCCCUUCCAUCACCGUAGCUGAGAAGGUUGUUGUUUCAUUCAAGAAUCUGAAAAUUAAUGUAAAUUUAAUUGGGAUACUGUGAUGAAAUUUUUUUUAAAGGUAACUCCAUCUUUCAUGGCUCCCAAUAGAUGUGCUGGGCACAUUUUAUUUGAGGUCACAACUCUAUGCAAGAUUAAAUUCUUUCCUGAUGAGAGGCCUUAUAUUUAGAGUGGUUAGCAUAUUGAUAGGUAUGACUGCAUAACGAAAACUCACCAGAUGAACUGAACAUGAUCCACUUAUAUAAACAAUACUCAAAUGUGUAGUCGUGCCGAUCAACAAUUUCUAGAGAUGCAAAAUCAGUCAUGUUGGUAGCAUGCAUUUCCUUAUAUUUUUCUUUUAUGCCAAUUCAUUAUAGCAUUCACUGGAUGUACUGUUAUUAUGGACUCUUCAAUAUGUCUACUAUGAAGGUUACCCUUAAAUUAGUAAGAAGAAAGAGAAAGAAAAAAUCAAUUUUGCUAUGCUUUUAUCAUCCUCGUGGAGUCGUGGUAUCUAAAUGCAAAUUUGUUCUUUCACAGAUUAGCUAUGCUUCAUGUUCGGUUGGCAGAGUUCUUCAAUCCCCCAAAAGUCUCUCUCUGCCAGCAUAUAUCCCUAGCCUGGCAUUUAACAAGAAGCAUCAAGCAUGGUUACGUGAACUUGAAAACUCUGCAGUUAUUGCUGAUCUCAAGUUAUUAAACUGUAGUACUCAUUUUGCGUUGGAAUGCAUGACAACAGAUUGCCUCUGCUUGACAAGGCAGCAUGAUCUUCUGUAAGCAAAGUUUUGAAUGUUAUGUCACUUCUUAAAAAAGUAUAGUUAUCUAUAUAUGCUUUUGUUCUUUACUGCAGCUUGAUGACACAAUUAUUUACUGGUAUGUUUAUCUUCAUGGAAGUGGAAGUUUCUUCUACAUUCUAUCUACAAAACUGCUAGAUCCAAAGUUUCUUGUUUAUGUCCAGAGUGCAGAAGUUGUGACACUCCAUGAUCCCUGACCAUUCAUCUUGAUCAUUUCCAGUCAAUCACUUGCGAUCAUUCAGCUCCAGUGAUCUGAGUCAGCCUCGAGGCAUUUGGCCCUGUUGGAAAUAGAUGUCUACUGAAGCCGGUCGAAGUAAACCAUGUCAAACUCAAAAGUGAAGGCACCCUACUCAGCCGGUUAGCAUCUGAGUUGCCUGCCUACUGUUGUGGAAUAAUAGGUCUCCUAGCAUCAGUCUGAGCUACAUUUUCCUGUAGAUUCAGACAAGGUAUGGACACAACAUGUCAUUCUUUGGUAUGAAGUGUUGACGUGCAGAGGUAUUUUCCAUAUGGCUGAUAGGACUAUAUAUUAGUGCCUGCUGGUCCAUGUUUGGUUGCGGGUUCAAUACGUGUCCUAGCUAGUACAGGCUGAGAUUAGUUGUCUGUCCUAAGAGUACAACUAUAAAAGUAGAUGACAUGUAGUCGGUGGAAAUGAAAUCGGCAGAGUUGCUACAGGUCCCGGAGUCAUGCCCAUAAAAAUGAUCGCUACCGUCUGUAACCGGAAGGUCCCGGGUUCGAGCCCCAGCCUCUGCACAUUUGUGUGGGUAAGGCUUGGGGCUUAAAAACAACCCUUCCCCAGACCCCGCACAGUGCGGGAAGCCUACGGCACUGGGUACGCCCUUUUUUUACAGCAAGGUCGGUUCUUCCGUAGAAUUCAUCUUAUGACCUAUUUGCAGGUGUGCAUUAAAGACAUUACUAAUGUAGAAGUAGGAGGCAUUGGGAAAUGAAUAGUAGCUGGAGCCGGGUCAGCUCAAGCUUGUCCGCGAUUCUCUCCAGUACUAGUGCAUUGUUUCAUGUUUGGUUGCAUGGCUCAGUAGAGCCUGCUGGUUUCACUUUGCUGUGUUUGGUUUACUUCCACCCGUGAGUGCCAUCACCACAUCUUUCAACUCCUCUCUUCCGUGUAGCCAGUGGUGGCCGCUUCACCUCCUUCCUCGUGCGCGCAGGAACUCGGUCGCCGCGAGGGGGGCUCUGGCAUGCUCCGCCGGCCUCGUGGGCGAGGUCCUCCGGCGCGAGGUGUGGUUGAGCGAGGAGCAGGCCAAGAGAAGCGCAGGAGGUAAGUAAUACGGGAAUUGCAGUCCAGAAGAUCUGUUUUGCACUAGCUAAGCUUGACUAAAGGGCUUUACAGAUAACCAAACAAAAAGAAGAUGCAUUGUGCUUGGCCAGGCCUUAUGCACCUAUCCAAGCACAACAUAAUUAAGCUACUACAUCUUGGGAUCACAUGAGUGGAACAACAGGAAACCGCACGUCAGCGUGAAUAUCCGCUCUUCAUUUUUACAGGGCAUCUAUGAUAUUGAUAUGUUUUUUCUACAGCGUCAGCCGGAGCAGAGCACGUCUAGCCUGUAUUUGGGAUCUAUGUUAACUCUGAGUUUCACGGUGAGGCAAUAACAAAAUGAAUUUAAGUCUCGCCAGAAUUACAUCUCACCUUUUGAACUCUCCAGAGAUGGCUGUUAUAUUAAGAAGGAAUGUCCUUGCCUCAUUUUGGAUUAGCUAGCUAGGGAACAGAGGUCACGAAUUAAUCAAAUUUUCUCAGAUCAGGCUGAACCAUAACCAAGAAAACAUCAAAAUACAUUCCUCUUUUGUUCUUACAAAACAUGGCGUGCUUUGUUCUUAGUUGUAGCUAAACUGACGUGAUGGCAUCGGGUUUCUUAAAGACAUCUUGCUCCUCCUCGCACCACAGCGCUCGGCGCCUCCGGAGGCACCAGGUCUCCCCUGGCGAAUUUGCAACAACAACAACAACAACAUAGCCUUUUAAUCCCAAGCUGAUGGCCAGGCGUUGAUCAGGACCCGCUCCCCGGCCAAACCACGAGCCCGUUGAUGAUGAUGAUGCAGCUGGCCAUGGAGAAGUGCGGCGCCCAGCAUCCUUGGUAUUCUACAGGUUGCAAACACUGAGGAGGUAUCUGCCGGUGGAAGAGGUUAGGCGUCGAUAUAUUGCUACCCAAAUUGAAAAGCAGUGCUAUAGCGCAUCCGCAAACCAGUCUGAUUAUUUCAAGAACAUUGCUGCGGUUAUCAUCCAUGUGGAGAAACAAUACCAAUACCGCCAUCCAGAUCAAGCUCCUUCCCUCCCUCAACAAGGCAAUAACCCGGCACAUUCAUCAGCAAGCACCUUGGUGUCUCAGCAACAGUCCCAGCAGCCUGAUUCAACACUUGUACAAGCUUCUUCUCUGUCUAGUGAUGAUCAGAGCUCGACAGGUGACAGCCAGACAUCUGGGCUGCAUAAUACGUCUGGGCAAUCUACAAUUGGACAGAUGCACUGGAUGGUCAUUCAAUCAGCUACUCAGAGUGGCAUUCAACAUAAUCCAUUGAACACUGUACAACAACCUGUGAAUCAGCAGCAGCAACAUCCAGAGCCCUCCAUGAAUCAGCAGUUUUCUGUGCAACAAAUCGAGCGAGCUCAACAGUCUUUGCCACAACCGGCAACAGGAGAGCUGUCAAAUUUACACCCAAAUCAGCCAAAUAAUCUUUUGAAUCAGCAUGAAACACAGGACUGUAUGCAGCCACAGCACCAAGAAUAUACAGCCUUUCACAGUAAAGAUAAUCUCUCGGGGAAUGCUCAACCAUCGCCUUCACGCAGUGAAUUCAGUGGGAAUGAGGACUUAAACUUUUGGUUGCGCUGUCCACUUCUGAGUCCAUAUUCCCAGCUUCCUCAACCCUGGCUUGGAAACUAUGGAUUCAGUGAGGAGGAGGACACAUUCUCUAUCUCAGAAUAUCCCCAGGAUCAAGAGAUGAAUAAUGGUGAUGAGGAGGACGACACAUUCUCUAUCUCAGAAUAUCUCCAGGAUCAAGAGAUGAAUAUUGGUGAUGAGGUUGCCAACACUGAUGGUGUUCCUCUUCCUCCACCACAGAAGGAUGGAUGCUUUGACAGCACUGGAUUGGCUGCCAUGGAGGUCCCAAAUGCUGUCUUCAUGACUGACAGGCCAACGAAUCCGAAGAAGCGCAAAUGUGAGGGUUCAAGUUCUUCUGCACCUGUGCUUAGAUAGCCCACCUUCCCUGCUUCAGUGGAUGACCACUCUUCUGUUAGUGUGUCUGCCUCCUUAGCAAAUCCAUAGGGGCCUUCAACUAUACCAUCCUGGCAGGUAAAUAAUCUGAAGCUGUUGGGCAAAACUAGGAUGGUUCCUAAAUCUGCACCCUGCUUUGGAUCAGGGUAAUUUGGUGAAUCUGCAGCAGUUCCAAGGGUCCAACCACUUCUGCACCACCAGCAAAGCAAGAAUGUUUAUUCCAUCAGCCUUCCCCAGAGCUCCGCAUAUGCUAUAUCUGAAGUGGCCAAAUUGCUGAAAGGACUGCAAACUGCUGAAAGGACUGUGGGUUAGUCCCAGAUUCAAAGUCCAUGUCUUCUUCAGGAUGGUGACCUUUGAAGGACAUGCCAAUAUGCUCAAUGUUUUGGGCCUCUAUCAUUUGCUCAUUUAAUUUCUUCUAUAUUCAAAUGUUUGUCAGUCCAAUUUCACCAUUGAUAUCUCCGUAUUCUAUUUAGUUACUCCCGCUACAAAAACACGUGGUAUUGUAAAAUUAGAACCACAGAACAUAGUAAGAAGGUUAGUAGGUUACUAUGAAGGUUAUUAUGGAUUCACUGGAUGUACUGUUAUUAUGGAUUCUUCAAUGUGUUUAUUAUGAAGGUUACCCUUAACUUAGUAAGAAGAAAGAGAAAAAAAAUCAAUUUUGCUA